rnacentral:lncRNA from 1 species
GACUAAAGACCCAAAGGCAGCAGCUGAAGCUAUUGACAAUGUGAUAGUCCCAGACUUUGAGCCAAGAAAAGAUGCAAAGAUUGUGACAGAUGAGAAAGCCACCACUUUAACCACUGCUUCGGUGGACGACGCUGCAGUCAUCAACGACCUCAUUGCUAAGCUCGAGAAGUGUAGGCAUAACUUGUCUCCAGAUUUCAGGAUGAAACCAAUUCAAUUCGAAAAGGUAAAUAUUCUCUGAUGCUAUUCUCACUGAAUGAAAUCUAAUUGAUAACAAAGGUUGAAUCUUAACCAAGGAGUGUUGUUAUUUUGAAUCAUAUUGUGUGUUUGUAGGAUGAUGAUACAAACUAUCACAUGGAUGUGAUAGCGGGUCUAGCCAACAUGAGGGCGAGGAACUACAGCAUACCUGAAGUCGACAAGCUGAAAGCAAAGUUCAUUGCAGGGAGAAUCAUCCCAGCCAUUGCGACCUCAACAGCCAUGGCCACUGGUCUGGUCUGCCUCGAGCUCUACAAGGUCCUCAAGACCCAAAGGCAGCAGCUGAAGCUAUUGACAAUGUGAUAGUCCCAGACUUUGAGCCAAGAAAAGAUGCAAAGAUUGUGACAGAUGAGAAAGCCACCACUUUAACCACUGCUUCGGUGGACGACGCUGCAGUCAUCAACGACCUCAUUGCUAAGCUCGAGAAGUGUAGGCAUAACUUGUCUCCAGAUUUCAGGAUGAAACCAAUUCAAUUCGAAAAGGUAAAUAUUCUCUGAUGCUAUUCUCACUGAAUGAAAUCUAAUUGAUA